AACGAACGCUGGCGGCAGGCUUAACACAUGCAAGUCGAGCGCCCCGCAAGGGGAGCGGCAGACGGGUGAGUAACACGUGGGAAUCUACCCAUCUCUACGGAAUAACGCAUGGAAACGUGUGCUAAUACCGUAUACGUCCUUCGGGAGAAAGAUUUAUCGGAGAUGGAUGAGCCCGCGUUGGAUUAGCUAGUUGGUGGGGUAAAGGCCUACCAAGGCGACGAUCCAUAGCUGGUCUGAGAGGAUGAUCAGCCACACUGGGACUGAGACUCGGCCCAGACUCCUACGGGAGGCAGCAGUGGGGAAUAUUGGACAAUGGGCGCAAGCCUGAUCCAGCCAUGCCGCGUGAGUGAUGAAGGCCCUAGGGUUGUAAAGCUCUUUCACCGGUGAAGAUAAUGACGGUAACCGGAGAAGAAGCCCCGGCUAACUUCGUGCCAGCAGCCGCGUAAUAC
rnacentral:rRNA from 1 species